GGGGGCCCGGCGCAAGCGGUGGAGCAAGUGGUUUAAUUCGAAGCAACGCGAAGAACCUUACCAGGUCUUGACAUCCUCUGACAACCCUAGAGAUAGGGCUUUCCCUUUGGGGACAGAGUGACAGGUGGUGCAUGGUUGUCGUCAGCUCGUGUCGUGAGAUGUUGGGUUAAGUCCCGCAACGAGCGCAACCCUUGAUCUUAGUUGCCAGCAUUCAGUUGGGCACUCUAAGGUGACUGCCGGUGACAAACCGGAGGAAGGUGGGGAUGACGUCAAAUCAUCAUGCCCCUUAUGACCUGGGCUACACACGUGCUACAAUGGACAGAACAAAGGGCUGCAAGACCGCAAGGUUUAGCCAAUCCCAUAAAUCUGUUCUCAGUUCGGAUCGCAGUCUGCAACUUGACUGCGUGAAGCUGGAAUCGCUAGUAAUCGCGGAUCAGCAUGCCGCGGUGAAUACGUUCCCGGGCCUUGUACACACCGCCCGUAAACACCACGAGAGUUUGCAACACCCGAAGUCGGUGAGGUAACCUUUAUGGAGCCAGCCGCCGAAGGUGCAUGAUGCGGU
rnacentral:rRNA from 1 species